UUUUUUUUUUUUUUUUUUGACAGAGAACACACACAGAACAAGGACAACAUACACCCUCUUACUAAAAUUGAAGAUGUUUUUGCUGAUAUGUGUGUAUGCAUAGGGAUGGAUCCAAUGGUGCAUUGGAAUUGGUUCAUAGAAAACCAUUGCUUGUUUAAUGGGAAAUCUACAGUAUAGUUCUGUGUUAAACAAAUUAUCAAUUAUGGCUAUGAAUUUUGACAUUGAUAUUAAAAUUAAUUGAAUUUGAGAGUUGC
rnacentral:misc_RNA from 1 species